UACGAAGGGGGCUAGCGUUGCUCGGAAUCACUGGGCGUAAAGCGCACGUAGGCGGCUUGUUAAGUCAGGGGUGAAAUCCUGGAGCUCAACUCCAGAACUGCCUUUGAUACUGGCGAGCUUGAGUCCGGGAGAGGUGAGUAGAACUGCGAGUGUAGAGGUGAAAUUCGUAGAUAUUCGCAAGAACACCAGUGGCGAAGGCGGCUCACUGGCCCGGUACUGACGCUGAGGCGCGAAAGCGUGGGGAGCAAACAGG
rnacentral:rRNA from 1 species